GAUGAACGCUGGCGGCGUGCCUAACACAUGCAAGUCGAACGAAGCUUGACGGAUGAUUUCUUCGGAAUGAAACCUGAUAUGACUUAGUGGCGGACGGGUGAGUAACACGUGAGCAACCUGCCUUUCAGAGGGGGAUAACGGCUGGAAACGGUCGCUAAUACCGCAUGAUGUGUUCGGAUGGCAUCAUCUGAACAUCAAAGAUUUAUCGCUGAAAGAUGGGCUCGCGUCUGAUUGGAUAGUUGGUGGGGUAACGGCCUACCAAGUCUACGAUCAGUAGCCGGACUGAGAGGUUGAACGGCCACAUUGGGACUGAGAUACGGCCCAGACUCCUACGGGAGGCAGCAGUGGGGAAUAUUGCACAAUGGGGGAAACCCUGAUGCAGCAACGCCGCGUGAAGGAUGACGGUUUUCGGAUUGUAAACUUCUUUUCUUAGUGACGAAGACAGUGACGGUAGCUAAGGAAUAAGCAUCGGCUAA
rnacentral:rRNA from 1 species